GGCCGGAAAGUUUGCGCAGCGAGAGGGACUCUCCUUCCGUGUCUCUCCCGCGCUGCCCCCUUCUGCCCCGGAGGGGCGUUAGAGUCCCCUCGGGUUUUCCUUUCAAAUUCUAAAAUAAAAAAAUAAUACAUGCCCAGGCCCUGGGGAAAUUGGAAUAGUAAUUCAUUCAAUAAAUGAAAUUAUAUGAGAGGUUUUGGGAAAACCCCAAGCCAACCGCAUGUGCCCUCCGAUCAAGUAGGGCAAGAGAGUGAGAAGGCGACAGAAGAGGUCCCCGGCUCGCCCUGGGCACACGGCGAGGACUCUGGUCAGAGGUAAUUAUGUCACUGCGUUUUCUCGCUGUGACAGCCGAAUAAACACAAUCUCCAAUAAACAUCUCUAAUGAGGGAGGAGGCCCGAGGAUGGCUGGGUUUGAUUUAUGACUGGAGGAGAAGGUCCACUUCCCACUGAGAAGCGGGCAACCUGCUCACCGCCCAGACCCGGAGAAAGGAAUCCGCGGAGGAGAGGACCCAGGCCCAGGAUAUGAUCCAGGAUUCCAUGUUGCAUCAGAUCUGCUGAUUUUUUAGACUCAAAGCCUUGGAGGGCUGAGCUGAACACACCUCCGCUGGAAAAUUAUCUGGAGCCAGCAUUUAUUGGGUGCUUAGGGUUUGCCAUCCUCACCACACUGCGGGGGAUCGGGAUGUCAGCUCUCUCACCUAAGGACCCGUUCGAGCGUGGAGGAGAAUGUGAAGACGAGCCGAGGCUGCCCUAAAAUAAUCAUAAAGAAGGAGAGACGCGCCACCGGUGUAUUGGCACGUGUUUCACAAGUUGCGCUUAGCAAAUACAAGUCCUUGUGAGCGCUGCCUUUUAUGUGGCAGUAAACCAUCUCUGAUGGUGUCGAGCGCAGAGGCUCACGCCAGCUAACCCAGCCUGCCUCGGAGGGCCCUCCCCAGGGGCUCGCGCCUUCCCACGGCAGAGGGAGGGCACAUCAGAUCGAGGCGGGUGCCCAAGGAAGGUCGUGAUGUGUUUUGUCUGCUCGACCCUGGCAGUGGUGCGCCUAUGUUCCUCUGCUUGAGCCGAUCCUCAAGACCUUUGGCAGAGGAGGAAACUGCGGCCUCGAGGAAAGAACCGCCAGAAGAAGAUCAGUGCUGGGAUAUUUGCUCCUCAUCCUCUGUUCUUCUGACACCACCUCGUGCCCUCUCUUUGCCUGGUUGUCCCUUCCUGGUGCCCUCACUUCUACCCCUGCGACCUAGAUUGAACCUCAAUCCAAGAGCUAUUCAAGCAGCCAAGGAGAGAAGAUUAACGUGGGGCAGAAGCAUGGUCCCACAGAACACAGGGCCAGCGGACGGGGCACAUCCUGCACAGAUUCAAGGAAGCAGAAAGCCACCGGGACUUGCACAUCGAGAGAAGCCUUCAGGGAGAAAAGUGAGGGAGCUCCCAGGUUACUUCCUGUUCAAAAGCCACUGAAGUGGACGCAAAAGGCAAGGAGAGCCCGAGGCCUUGGCAUCUCCGCCGGCCCAACCUGCAAAGGAAUCCAGCACCCACUGCCCGUGAGGUCUUUGAAGGAAGACGGUGUGGGGCCUGGCGGUCUCCGCAGGAGGGGAGCAGGGAGGGAGGGAGGAGGGCUAUGUCUGGACCGGUCUCUCUCCGCCACCCACAGAAGGCUCCUCCUUCAUUUGGAAGCCUCCUAACCUGAGCACAAAUGAGACCCCCUGGGAUCCCAAAAUAGCUCCCCUCACAGCUGCACAGCAUCCAUUUAUAGCACAGCAUCUCUGCAGCCUCAGGCUGCUCCUGGGACGGCCCUUCUGAGCUCAGCAUCUGCGAACACCAGGCUCCAUGUCAUUUAAAAGCAGAAAUACUCAUAAAGGACCUAUUAUGGCCUUGUCACUGUUUUCCAGAACUUGCCUCAACCCUCAGAGACCUCAAAGGGCCAAAUUUGUUUUGACCCAGAGCCAGACCAUGUUUUGUCCAACAAUAACCCAGAGGCCGGUCGGGUCCCUUCCUCUGGGCUCGGCAGCAGUUGAGAAUGUUCUACUUGGUGGCAGCAGGACAAACAGUACCAAACUGAUGCUUGGGCCUUAGACCAAGUCACUCGGACAGCCCCAGGGCAGAACCACCAUUAGGCUCUAUGUCUAUACUGUCCACUUACUAGCAAGGAAAGUAACUGAGGCCUCUUAUUGACAUUAUCCACUCAUGUUAUCGGUGCUAACUCUGAAUGUCAAAUUAUAGAGCAAAGAAACACCCCCGGCCCCAUCGAGGUAGGUUCUGUACUUCCUUCUCAUAUGAACUUUAACCCACUUUUUCACAUGCGACUUAUGUAGAGACAGACUGAAGCCGUCCAUUGAUAAUCAAGUGUAUGUUGCUCUUUCACCCCCGACUCUGAGCGGAGCUGAGAGAUCAGAAGUGACCCUGGCUGGCCGCUUGCAGUUUGCUCAGCCUCCUUCUGCUUUCUGUGACAGCCACUGGCACUUGUCUUCCUGAGACAAACAUUUUUUUGUUCAAGCAGAUUCAGGCCUCCUCUGGAGUCGGUCCAGAUCAGUUUUCUGAAGGUCGGGGGAGGGGGCUUCCUUUCCAAAGUUGCUGAGUGGGAGCAAGUCUCUGCUGAUGAGCCUUUCCGGGGGUGGGGGCGGGGGGAAGGCCUGGAGGGAGUUCAUAAGAGCCGGGCCACUGACAGGACAUAUCUGCCCUGUUAAGGCGACCGAGGCCCUAGCGCAGGGUAGCAACAUUCAUCCAGGGGUAAGAAACCUGUGUGAUCAUGUCCCCUCCCCACCUCCCCGACCUAUUAAAGAGAGUUCUUUCUAGAGCAGUCUUAGAUUCACAGCAAAAUUGAGCAGAAAGUACAGAGAAUUCCCUUAUCCUCCCUGCCCCCCCACCUCACUAUCAAAUCCCCACCGUGGCACAUUUGUUAUAAUUGAUGAAUUUACAUGGACACAUCAUUAUCAACCAAAGUCCAUGGUUUACCAUAGGGUUCCGUCUUGGUGUUUUAAAAUGUUUUAAGAUGGGAAUAUGUAUUUAUUUGCAUGUAUAUGUGUCAGGAUUGCUCUGAAGAAAGACCCCAGUACAGGCCAACAGCGGACAUCAUGGCUAAUAUUACUGGAGUCAGUCACAAGAGAGAAAUGGAUUUCUUCCCAAGACUUCCUUGGUUACUGCACUGAUGAAGGCACAAGUCGAAAGACUUACAUUUUAGUAAUUUUUUUUUGGUUGCUAUUGACUUCUCUCUUGUUCCCCUCUGGUGUCAUCAAAUUUGAGCCAAUUCUGAGCCAGACGCAUAAAGGGAAUCCCGGCUGUUGGUGAACGCUGAGGAAGAGGCAAAGGCAUAAAUAUAGGGAGUGGGUGCCUGAGUGCUAAGUGAUGGAGAUUGAAGGGGAAAUUACCCCUCUUCUUCUGCUUUACAAAUUCACAAACAUCUAGUCCACCACGAAGUCUAUAACAGCCAUUUGAUAAACACAAAAUUCAAUUAAACUGAUUCAGAAAUGGCUCUAGCCUGGACAUUUAAACCAAUAGCCAAUUGCUGCAGAGAAAAUGCUGGAGCAGAUGGAUGUUUCUCUAGAUCUUAUCUGCCUUGGGUUUUCAGGUGAAUUCAUCCCAGAAAUGAGGGGUUGUGGAACUUGGUACCUGGGAUUUCAUGGAGUCCUUGGGAAGUUCAAGUCACCCCAAAAUGCUUACUUCUUGAGUCAUCUCCUUUUGCCUUCUUACAUCAUCUAAUUUAAAAUGUAUACUUUUGUUAAGGGUAGGGUUCAAGUUUAUUAAUCAUUAAUCAUCUUAUUGUAAUUAUGUCAGUGCAAAUGUAGGUAGAUCAACAUUGACAUAUUAUUUCCAUUAAUAUACAUUACUUGUAGUUUUCUAUUUAGUCACUAACCGUGGCUCAUUCACCUUUUUAGGCUGAAUCAUCAGAUGUGAAGAGCCAUCCAGGGCAUUUCUGAGUUCUGAUUGGUUGCACUAGCUCGAAAUCUGAUUAGUCCAAAAUUUGGCCCCAAAAGUCUCAGCAAAAGUCUUGUCCCGUGUGUGUUUGAAAUUUUACAGAGUGAUUCAUAGCUGUUAUUUGUUCUAAGCAAAUAUCUGACAAGUUUCUGAUCCAUUGAUUUUGCAGAGGAAAUGUUUCCAAGUACCAUUGCCUUUCCCUAAAAGCCAGCUUAAAGCCCACACAUGUUUAUAUUGCGUGUUAUGUUCAAAGAGCAUUUAGGUAAGUGGAGUGGGAUAUAGAACCACCUACGGUUCUGUCUUAUCUUGCUGGACUGGGAGGAUGUUUCCUGUGACCUCUCAAGGCACGUGAACACACAAUGCGCUAGGCAGCCCUCCGGUUUUCCUCCUGCAACAUCGGCAUUGGACAGCCCGGUGGAACAGAGGUGGUCUGGGAGGCACAAGGCCUGGGUAUUGGUUUUGAUUGUCCUACUGAAGAGUCGUAGCCCCUUAGCAAAGUGCCUUAACCAUUUGAUUCUCACUUCUUUUCUCUAUAAACGGGAAAAGGAAUACCUGUCUACCACAUCUUAGCACGUUGUGGUUGGAGCCAAAUGAGAACUUGGGCAAAUAAGAAGGCUUUGGUAGGGAGUUCCCUUCCUGGCUCAGUGGUUAACGAACCCAACUAGGAUCUACAAGGAUAUGGGUCGAUCCCUGGCCUUGCUCAGCGGGUUAAGGAUACAGCAUUGUCAUGAGCUGUGGUGAAGGUCACAGAUGUGGCUUCGAUCCCAAGCUGCUGAGGCUGUGGCUGUGGCGUAGGCCGGCGGCUGCAACUCCGAUUCGACCCCUAGCCUGGGAACCUCCAUAUGCCAUGGGUGCAGCCCUAAAAAG
rnacentral:lncRNA from 1 species